CCCGGUGUGACGAAGUUUGGUAGACGUGCGAGUUUCAGAUACUCGUGUCCGAGAGGGCGGGGAGGUUCGAAUCCUCUCACCGGGA
rnacentral:tRNA from 1 species